rnacentral:rRNA from 1 species
UACGUAGGGGGCAAGCGUUGUCCGGAGUUACUGGGCGUAAAGCGCACGCAGGCGGUUCUCUCAGUUCCGGCUGACAGUCGUCGGCUUCACUGACGAAGGCGUGGGAAGACGGGAGAACUUGAGGGCUUCAGAGGGACACGGAAUUCCGGGUGGAGUGGUGAAAUGCGUAGAUAUCUGCAGGAACACCCGUGGCGAAAGCGGCGCGCUGGACCACUACUGACGCUGAGGAACGAAAGCUAGGGGAGCAAACAG